rnacentral:rRNA from 1 species
AUGGAAGAGUUUGUAGGUGACGCAAGGAACGUAUGGUUUGGUCUAAGCGAAGAUGGCAUUAAUCCUUUUGGGGAGCAGAGCAACAACCAUAACACCUGGCCUGUUACUCUAUGUUUGUAUAACCUUCGUCCAUGGUUGUGCAUGAAGCGGAAGUUCAUUAUAUUGUCAGUGCUCAUCCAAGGCCCUAAGCAACCCGACAACAACAUUGAUAUGUACCUAAGGCCAUUAGUUGAAGAACUGUUACAGUUGUGGAAUGGAGGUGUAUGUGCGUGGGAUGAGCACAAACAGGAAGAAUUUGACCUAAAGGUGUUGUUGUUCAUGACCAUCAAUGAUUGGCAUGCUCUCAGUAACCUUUUAGGACAGACAAACAAGGGAUACUGCGGAUGCACACACUGUUUGGAUGAUACCGAUAGUAUAUAUUUGGGUAAUUGUAGGAAGAAUGUGUACCUGGGACAUCGUCGAUUUCUUCCAAGCAGGCAUCCCGUAAGAAAGGCAAGCAUUUCAAUGGUGAGGCGAUCACCGGACGAAACCUCGCCACCGUACUAUUGUUGA